rnacentral:rRNA from 1 species
GAUGAACGCUAGCUACAGGCUUAACACAUGCAAGUCGAGGGGCAGCAUGACGAUAGUUUGCUAUCGUUGAUGGCGACCGGCGCACGGGUGAGUAACGCGUAUCCAACCUGCCCUUGUCCAUCGGAUAACCCGUCGAAAGGCGGCCUAACACGAUAUGCAGUUCUCAGCAGGCAUCUAACGAGAACGAACUGUAAAGGAGAAGGAUGGGGAGGCGUCUGAUUAGCUUGUUGGCGGGGUAACGGCCCACCAAGGGGACGAGCAGUAGGGGUUCUGAGAGGAAGGUCCCCCACAUUGGAACUGAGACACGGUCCAAACUCCUACGGGAGGCAGCAGUGAGGAAUAUUGGUCAAUGGGCGAGAGCCUGAACCAGCCAAGUAGCGUGCAGGACGACGGCCCUAUGGGUUGUAAACUGCUUUUAUGCGGGGAUAAAGUGAGUCACGUGUGGCUUAUUGCAGGUACCGCAUGAAUAAGGACCGGCUAAUUCCGUGCCAGCAGCCGCGGUAA